rnacentral:lncRNA from 1 species
AAGAAGUUGGUACUCGACGUUUUGGCACAUGGAUUAAGGGUUAGUUUGGUUUUAAGACCCAUCUAACGCUAUUAGAUAAAAUGGAGUUGGGGUAAAAGUAUAUAGGGAUAUACUUCUGUGUUCUUCAGUGGAACCAUAGAAAAUAUAUUGUAACUGACUCAUCGCGAUAUAAUUACAUAUGAAAAUAAACAGUAUUUUUUCAUCAUACUUUCUCACCGUACAUAACGGAAUCUUCCCGCAAUCUCAAACGAAACCUAAGAAUUGUAGGGUUG